GACGAACGCUGGCGGCGUGCCUAAUACAUGCAAGUAGAACGCUGAAGCUUGGUGCUUGCACCGAGCGGAUGAGUUGCGAACGGGUGAGUAACGCGUAGGUAACCUGCCUGGUAGCGGGGGAUAACUAUUGGAAACGAUAGCUAAUACCGCAUAACAGUAGAUAUCGCAUGAUAGCUACUUGAAAGGUGCAAAUGCACCACUACCAGAUGGACCUGCGUUGUAUUAGCUAGUUGGUGAGGUAACGGCUCACCAAGGCAACGAUACAUAGCCGACCUGAGAGGGUGAUCGGCCACACUGGGACUGAGACACGGCCCAGACUCCUACGGGAGGCAGCAGGAGGGAAUCUUCGGCAAUGGACGGAAGUCUGACCGAGCAACGCCGCGUGAGUGAAGAAGGUUGUCGGAUCGUAAAGCUCGGUUGUAAGAGAAGAACGAGUGUGAGAGUGGAAAGUUCACACUGUGACGGUAUCUUACCAGAAAGGGACGGCUAACUACGUG
rnacentral:rRNA from 1 species